UGAAUACGAGACGCUAAGGCGUCGAAGUAGUGUAUGUCAUACUUCCAAGAAAAGCUUGCACUGUCAUAGAUAAAAAACGCCUGUACCAUAACCGACACAGGUGGGUAGGUAGAGUAUACUAAGGGGCGCGAGAUAACUCUCUCUAAGGAACUCGGCAAAAUAACUCCGUAACUUCGGGAGAAGGAGUGCCUUAUUAUUAAGGCUGCAAUAACAAGAUCCAAGCAACUGUUUAUCAAAAACACAGGUCUCCGCUAAGUCGUAAGACGAUGUAUGGGGGCUGACGCCUGCCCAGUGCCAGAAGGUUAAAGAAGUUGGUUAGCAUUUGCGAAGCUGAUAACUGAAGCCCUGGUGAACGGCGGCCGUAACAAUAACGGUCCUAAGGUAGCGAAAUUCCUUGUCGGGUAAGUUCCGACCCGCACGAAAGGCGUAAUGAUUUGGAUACUGUCUCGGAGAGGGGCUCGGUGAAAUAGACUUGUCUGUGAAGAUGCGGACUACCUGCACCAGGACAGAAAGACCCUAUGAAGCUUUACUGUAACUUGAAAUUGAAAUUGGACUUUAUUCGCGCAGCAUAGGCGGGAGGCGUUGAUUAUAAUCUCGUGGGAUUAUUGGAGCCAUCAGUGAGAUACCACUCUUGUAAUGUUAGAUUUCUAACUUUGAAUCAUUAUCUGGUCAAAGAACAGUUUCAGGCGGGCAGUUUGACUGGGGCGGUCGCCUCCUAAACGGUAACGGAGGCGUACAAAGGGUUCCUCUGAACGGUUAGAAAUCGUAUCUAGAGUGUAAAGGCAUAAGGAAGCUUGACUGUGAGACCUACAAGUCGAGCAGGGACGAAAGUCGGUCUUAGUGAUCUGACGGUACUGAGUGGAAAGGCCGUCACUCAACGGAUAAAAGUUACUCUAGGAUAACAGGCUGAUCUCCCCCAAGAGUUCACAUCGACGGGGAGGUUUGGCACCUCGAUGUCGGCUCAUCGCAUCCUGGGGCGGUAGUACGUCCCAAGGGUUGGGCUGUUCGCCCAUGAAAGCGGUACGCGAGCUGGGUUCAGAACGUCGUGAGACAGUUCGGUCCAUAUCCGGUGUAGGCGUUAGAAUAUUGAGAGGAGCCUUCUUUAGUACGAGAGGACCGAGAAGGACAUACCUCUGGUGUACCAGUUAUCGUGCCAACGGUAAACGCUGGGUAGCUAUGUAUGGAGUGGAUAACCGCUGAAAGCAUCUAAGUGGGAAGCCCACCUCAAGAUAAGUAUUCUCA
rnacentral:rRNA from 1 species